GCCAAACUCUCCAGAAGACCCUUGGAAAUGUGUACAACCAUGGAUGUUCAGGUCUGAACGGGACUCCAGAGAUCAUCUGGUCCAAAUAUUUACUCUAUAUAUGAUGGAAUCCAUGAGAAGAGCUGAAAUCUCAGAUCACUCUGUUCUUAUCUCCAUAAUGUACGUGUUUUAUUGUUAUCCAGGGCAGGGCUCAUCUCUCAUUCGCCGGUAUAUUCAAGAACAUAAAAGUGUUGCCCAUUCCUGUUCUAUGAUUAAAAUUAAUGAGAAGAUGUAUUGUUACAGUGUUUAAGAAAAGGCACUUAUCAUUGAAGAAGACAAAUGUAGAGACAUCCCCAAGUGAAACAAUCUAUUUAUACAGCUCAGAAACUUACUUAACACAGGACUGAGUAUACCUUGAAGCAAUCUCCAGAGAAGAGCUCCUACUACUAGAACUCCUACUAUGAAGCCCACAGCUUCACCAGAGAAUUCUUCUUGCAGAAGAUGAAAGCAAUGACAAAGACCUCUUAUAUCUCUUCUCCUUUUGUAAAUAAAACUCCUAUCAAUUUUAUAUGUCUUUCUGGGAAUAAGAAAGACAGUCACACAAUGUAUCGUUCACCUUGUAAAAUGUGACAUUACAAAUGACUGCCAAAAGUAUGGAACUUUUUUAUUGAAAGCUCUAUUAAGUCAUACAAGUAAUUUACUUCCCCCAAAAUAUAUUUACUACUGUGCCUAUUCUGUGGAGUCUCACCAACAGAAGUGCACGCAGACUGCUGCUUUUGAAAAUUAAAGAAAAAUAUGCAUGACUAUGUUAUUGAUGAAUGAGAAAUCAUAUACUGUUUAAAAUAAUGUACAUCUUGGAGUUUAUAGAAAAUAAUUUCUACUUGUGUGCAGAAUCAUGCCUUAAUAAUAAACCUUUACUGAUCACUUAA